CGCUCGCCGGAAGACCAAGGGUUCCUGUCCAACGUUAAUCGGGGCAGGGUGAGUCGACCCCUAAGGCGAGGCCGAAAGGCGUAGUCGAUGGGAAACGGGUUAAUAUUCCCGUACUUGGUGUUACUGCGAAGGGGGGACGGAGAAGGCUAUGUUGGCCGGGCGACGGUUGUCCCGGUUUAAGCGUGUAGGUGUGUGUUCCAGGUAAAUCCGGUUCACUUUAACACUGAGGCGUGAUGACGAGGCACUACGGUGCUGAAGCAACAAAUGCCCUGCUUCCAGGAAAAGCCUCUAAGCAUCAGGUAACAUCAAAUCGUACCCCAAACCGACACAGGUGGUCAGGUAGAGAAUACCAAGGCGCUUGAGAGAACUCGGGUGAAGGAACUAGGCAAAAUGGUGCCGUAACUUCGGGAGAAGGCACGCUGACAC
rnacentral:rRNA from 1 species